UGGAUGAUACUCGUGAUUUCAAGGUAGGUUCUUAUUUUCUUCUCUCUUUGAAAAAACAACAGUUUCUUUUUUCCCAUUGAUAUCAUGUUGAAUGCAUGCCUAUUCAUAAAAUAAGCAGAUGAACAAAAGCAAAAACAAAAGAAGAAGAAGAAGAAUUCAUUUUUAUUAAAAAUACCAUUAAUAAUAUGUAUGCACAGGCUAAGUAUUGAAAUGUUCACUGAAAAGCUUCAGUAUGUGUUUACUAACAUAUUGUUGCUAUUAAGUGUGAAUCUUACUGACCUGUUUGUGCUCUUUAAAGUGAACAGUGCACUUGUAUAUAGAGAAAAUAAUUAAACUUUCUUUUUUUUGUUUUUAAUAUGAUGGUGUAGGAUUUUUUAUUCUAUCAAUCAUACUUUCUAUAAGAUUUGUGCUUACCUUACCAUUGGUAAAACAAAAGUUGACUUCAUACAUUCUAGCUGGUAUAUUUCCUCUUUAAAAUGGUAUCUGCCAUUUGU
rnacentral:misc_RNA from 1 species